rnacentral:rRNA from 1 species
GACGAACGCUGGCGGCGUGCUUAACACAUGCAAGUCGAACGGAAAGGCCCCCUUGUGGGGUACCCGAGUGGCGAACGGGUGAGUAACGCGUGAGUAACCUACCCUUGACUUUGGGAUAACUUCAGGAAACUGGGGCUAAUACCGGAUAGGAGCUCCUGCUGCAUGGUGGGGGUUGGAAAGUUUCGGCGGUUGGGGAUGGACUCGCGGCUUAUCAGCUUGUUGGUGGGGUAGUGGCUCACCAAGGCUUUGACGGGUAGCCGGCCUGAGAGGGUGACCGGCCACAUUGGGACUGAGAUACGGCCCAGACUCCUACGGGAGGCAGCAGUGGGGAAUAUUGCACAAUGGGCGGAAGCCUGAUGCAGCAACGCCGCGUGCGGGAUGACGGCCUUCGGGUUGUAAACCGCUUUCGCCUGUGACGAAGCGUGAGUGACGGUAAUGGGUAAAGAAGCACCGGCUAACUACGUG